UCCCACUUGAUCACUGCUGCUAC
rnacentral:miRNA from 1 species